AUUGAACGCUGGCGGCAGGCUUAACACAUGCAAGUCGAGCGUGCGGCGGACGGGUGAGUAAUGUCUGGGAAACUGCCUGAUGUAGGGGGAUAACUACUGGAAACGGUAGCUAAUACCGCAUACCAUCAGAUGUGCCCAGCUGGGAUGAGCUAGUAGGUGGGGUAAUGGCUCACCUAGGCGACGAUCUCUAGCUGGUCUGAGAGGAUGACCAGCCACACUGGAACUGAGACAAGGUCCAGACUCCUACGGGAGGCAGCAGUGGGAAAUAUUGCACAAUGGGCGGAAGCCUGAUGCAGCCAUGCCGCGUGUUUGAAGAAGGCCUUCGGGUUGUAAAGCACUUUCAGCGAGGAGGCGUUACUCGCAGAAGAAGCACCGGCUAACUCCGUGCCAGCAGCCGCGGUAAUUC
rnacentral:rRNA from 1 species